AGAGUUUGAUCCUGGCUCAGGACGAACGCUGGCGGCGCGCCUAACACAUGCAAGUCGAACGAGCGAGAGAGAGCUUGCUUUCUCAAGCGAGUGGCGAACGGGUGAGUAACGCGUGAGGAACCUGCCUCAAAGAGGGGGACAACAGUUGGAAACGACUGCUAAUGCCGCAUAAGCCCACAGCUCGGCAUCGAGCAGAGGGAAAAGGAGCAAUCCGCUUUGAGAUGGCCUCGCGUCCGAUUAGCUAGUUGGUGAGGUAAUGGCCCACCAAGGCGACGAUCGGUAGCCGGACUGAGAGGUUGAACGGCCACAUUGGGACUGAGACACGGCCCAGACUCCUACGGGAGGCAGCAGUGGGGAAUAUUGCACAAUGGGGGAAACCCUGAUGCAGCGACGCCGCGUGGAGGAAGAAGGUCUUCGGAUUGCAAACUCCUGUUGUUGAGGAAGAUAAUGACGGUACUCAACAAGGAAGUGACGGCUAACUACGUGCCAGCAGCCGCGGUAAAACGUAGGUUACAAGCGUUGUCCGGAAUUACUGGGUGUAAAGGGAGCGCAGGCGGGAAGACAAGUUGGAAGUGAAAUCUAUGGGCUCAACCCAUAAACUGCUUUCAAAACUGUUUUUCUUGAGUAGUGCAGAGGUAGGCGGAAUUCCCCGGUGUAGCGGUGGAAUGCGUAGAUAUCGGGAGGAACACCAGUGGCGAAGGCGGCCUACUGGGCACCAACUGACGCUGAGGCUCGAAAGUGUGGGUACCAAACAGGAUUAGAUACCCUGGUAGUCCACACCGUAAACGAUGAUUACUAGGUGUUGGAGGAUUGACCCCUUCAGUGCCGCAGUUAACACAAUAAGUAAUCCACCUGGGGAGUACGACCGCAAGGUUGAAACUCAAAGGAAUUGACGGGGGCCCGCACAAGCAGUGGAGUAUGUGGUUUAAUUCGACGCAACGCGAAGAACCUUACCAAGUCUUGACAUCCUGCGACGCACAUAGAAAUAUGUGUUUCCUUCGGGACGCAGAGACAGGUGGUGCAUGGUUGUCGUCAGCUCGUGUCGUGAGAUGUUGGGUUAAGUCCCGCAACGAGCGCAACCCUUACUGUCAGUUACUACGCAAGAGGACUCUGGCAGGACUGCCGUUGACAAAACGGAGGAAGGUGGGGAUGACGUCAAAUCAUCAUGCCCUUUAUGACUUGGGCUACACACGUACUACAAUGGCGUUAAACAAAGAGAAGCAAGACCGCGAGGUGGAGCAAAACUCAGAAACAACGUCCCAGUUCGGACUGCAGGCUGCAACUCGCUUGCACGAAGUCGGAAUUGCUAGUAAUCGUGGAUCAGCAUGCCACGGUGAAUACGUUCCNCGGGCACUUGUACACAGCGCCCGUC
rnacentral:rRNA from 1 species